rnacentral:lncRNA from 1 species
CGCGGGCUUCCCGGGUCGCUCCCCCGGCAGCGCGGAGCGCUGCAGGCAGCGGGCACGGCGCGGCCACCGGGGAGGGGGAGCGCUAAAAAUACCGCCCCGCCGCUGCUACCGGCGUAAAAUGGUGUCUCCGCCGCGGCGCGGCCCUCCCACCCCCGAACCGGUCGACCUCCGGCUGUAUCUUUGAAGGGAAAUAAUGAGCAGGAAUAGGUAUCGCCUUGCCUCUGGGGUGCCUCUGCGGGGUCUGCAGAGGUAACCCGGGGGAGCUGCUAGAGCCUCGCUUAUUUUACCUGCUACGCACCGUGAGCUGCCUUUUGAAACAAAAGAAACGAACUAUCGCCGACUGAACAGAUUAGCAGCCUUCCACCAUUAGCGCCUGGCGCACCUGAAUUUGAUGUGAUCGCCAGCCCCAACGUAAACAAGGGCUCGCACACAAAAAGGUUUGCAGUGCCUCUCGACACCACUAUUCCCGGCAAUCAGACGCAGAUUUGCGGUGCUCGCUGCUCCCGCUCAGCCGCGGAGCGCGUCCCUACCCGCGGGCUCUGUGUCACGCAGACAAUAGCGGGGAGCGGCCCCCCGCCGCCUGCCGCAGCGCCCGCCCCCGGGCAGCUCCCCGCGGGUCUCGCCCCCGGGCAGCCGCUGCCCUCCGCCGGGAGCGGGCUGCCAGCGGGCGCCGCUUCCUCCGAACCCGUCCCCGAAAUGUCAUUUCGGUGGCAGAGGGAGGGGCUGUGAUCUUUUUGCGAGGGCAGAGGCAGCCCCGUGUGUGUGGGCACGGCGGCGGGGGGAGGGGGGACGCGAAGCCCCGCGGACUUGGCCGUGCCGCGCCCGAUGCCUGCAGCAUCCCACCCUCAGGCGGGCAGGCAGCGCGCACGCAGCGCAGUGCCCUCCCCGCGUACCCACGCCCGCUGCCCUCCUUAUUGCCAUUGUGCUGCUGCAGCCCCCCCUCACCGCACCGCUCCCCCCGCCUCGCCGCCGCAAGGGCACCGCGGGCGCAGCCCGGCGGCCGGGGCGGACUGACCCACGGUCACACGGAACCCUCUUCCAGCCGCGGAGGUGAUCCCUCCCGACCCGGCUGACGUGCAGAGCCCAGACAUGUCGGUCACUACAGAGGUUACAAUUCCCAUCCCGCCCUGCAGGAAUCACACCGCAGUCAGAAGGGGCCAGCAGCCCUACGCAGCCGCGUUCUGAUGGCGAUGGCAGGAAAGGGGCUUUUUCGGGAAAGUUUGUCGUAGCAAUUCAGAGGAGAGCCAGCCUGCAGGGGCAGGGACUAACAAUAGCUGAGCCCUCACGACUUACACGUUUUUGGUGGAAAACGAAGUGUUUCCCUCAGAUAGCAAAAAAAAAAAAAAAAAAAAAAAAAGGAGGACUUACGUGUCUCUUCCCCCGCCCCCCAUCUCCACCUCGCUCUUUUUUUUUUUUCCUUUAAUUUUUCUCUGUCAUCUCUGAUUACAUCUCCCCGCACUCGCGGGGCUCCCCCGGGGCCGAGGCGCGGAGCCCCGGGAGCGGCCGGGCCGCAGGUGCGGGGGUGCGGGCGGGGAGAGGGCGGUGCGGCGCGGAGCAGGGCGGAGGGGGGUCGGCGGGAGAGCGGCCUCCUGCUCGGAGCGCGGAGUCGAGCUUCCAUGUUUGCUUCAUCCUGACGGCAUGCAAUCUGGUGUAGGGUUUUUUUCACUUGCAUCAACGCUGCCCUAGAAGCAGGCGCACACCUGGUGAUUCAAGGUCCUCUUUAUAUGUGUAUAGGGGUAUCUGUACCCAUAGAUUAAUCUGAUCGCUUUCCAGUGUAAGAUUUAGUGCAGAAUCUUUCAAUAAAUGCAUUCUCGUUGCAAAAAUCA